rnacentral:rRNA from 1 species
AUGAAGGACGUGCUAAUCUGCGAUAAGCGCCGGUAAGGUGAUAUGAACCGUUAUAACCGGCGAUUUCCGAAUGGGGAAACCCAGUGUGAUUCGUCACACUAUCAUUAACUGAAUCCAUAGGUUAAUGAGGCGAACCGGGGGAACUGAAACAUCUAAGUACCCCGAGGAAAAGAAAUCAACCGAGAUUCCCCCAGUAGCGGCGAGCGAACGGGGAGGAGCCCAGAGCCUGAAUCAGCAUGUGUGUUAGUGGAAGCGUCUGGAAAGGCGCGCGAUACAGGGUGACAGCCCCGUACACAAAAGCGCAUGUGCUGUGAGCUCGAUGAGUAGGGCGGGACACGUGGUAUCCUGUCUGAAUAUGGGGGGACCAUCCUCCAAGGCUAAAUACUCCUGACUGACCGAUAGUGAACCAGUACCGUGAGGGAAAGGCGAAAAGAACCCCGGCGAGGGGAGUGAAAAAGAACCUGAAACCGUGUACGUACAAGCAGUGGGAGCACAGGUUUACCUGUGUGACUGCGUACCUUUUGUAUAAUGGGUCAGCGACUUAUAUUCUGUAGCAAGGUUAACCGAAUAGGGGAGCCGGAGGGAAACCGAGUCUUAAUUGGGCGUUAAGUUGCAGGGUAUAGACCCGAAACCCGGUGAUCUAGCCAUGGGCAGGUUGAAGGUUGGGUAACACUAACUGGAGGACCGAACCGACUAAUGUUGAAAAAUUAGCGGAUGACCUGUGGCUGGGGGUGAAAGGCCAAUCAAACCGGGAGAUAGCUGGUUCUCCCCGAAAGCUAUUUAGGUAGCGCCUCGUGAAUUCAUCUCCGGGGGUAGAGCACUGUUUCGGCUAGGGGGCCAUCCCGGCUUACCAACCCGAUGCAAACUGCGAAUACCGGAGAAUGUUAUCACGGGAGACACACGGCGGGUGCUAACGUCCGUCGUGAAGAGGGAAACAACCCAGACCGCCAGCUAAGGUCCCAAAGUCAUGGUUAAGUGGGAAACGAUGUGGGAAGGCCCAGACAGCCAGGAUGUUGGCUUAGAAGCAGCCAUCAUUUAAAGAAAGCGUAAUAGCUCACUGGUCGAGUCGGCCUGCGCGGAAGAUGUAACGGGGCUAAACCAU